ensembl:lncRNA
UAUUAGUAUCGUCGUCUGCGAUGUGCGUCUGCAGAUCUGCGUGUGACGCAGGCGACCAGCAGCCAAUGGCGUGACACACAAACGCAGCAGAGUUGCGCAGUUACAUUGCGAGAGGAGCGCAGCCAUUACACUUGAUCUUAAAUCUUUAGAAAACGUCGUGCGGAUUGCACUGGCCAAUCAGUUUUCUCUACAAAUUCCGUGACAGUAUUCUGAAAUUAGCACUCAAAUCCGAGCGGGAUUUUCGCGAUCUCUGCUUAGGAAAGUUGUGAAACUUUAUAAACCGGGUUACUUCACAAGGUGUAGCGCGUCUGCUAGUGUCAGUGUUUCUCAGCUCGCAUCUCACGCGCGCUUUGAUGCAGCGCGAUGAUGGGCACACCUCUGAAGAACGAGCCGUCUGCUGCUGGUUGCAUGCCGUUGUGUUCUGACCUUACGUCUACCGGCGACUCGACUGCACGAGCAUCAUCACAGCAGCGCGAGCAGAUCGAGGCCCCGACUCCUGUUUUACUCUCCGCUAAACAAUGUCCACAAAAUUGGCAGGUGGUCGAGGGAUUGAAGCUGUUUCCACAUCUUCUGAGUUCACCCAUGGUGCCAUCGUGCACCUCAUCGAAGCGAUGCAGAGGUGCUGGGAUGUUUACAGCUCACGCGAGCGCUCGCUUCUCUUCCAGAGCGUUCAGAAAGAACUGGAAAGCCACGGUCACUCCUUACCCGUAGAGAAGAUUCGCCGCAAAUGGAAUAACCUCAUUGUUACAUACAAGAGAGUUAAAGAUCGCAGCUCGUUGUGUGGAGGCCAAACAAAGACCUCAUGGGAGUACUUCGAAAUGAUGGAUAAUAUACUAGGAAAGACUAAAUUUGCUCAGAGAGGCCCUGCUUCAGCCACUCUUGUUGGAUUUGCAACCACAGCCAAAGCAGGUGUAAGAUCAGAGGAUCAUGCGUCUAACAGCAUGCCGGUGGCUGCAAUGACCGCCUCGUGCCUCCUUCCCACUGGAAUCAUCACAUCCUCUUCCCAGAUCCCUACACUUGUGACGUCCCCGGUGCUGUGCAAAGUUACCCCAAAAUUAAACCCCAGCCCCUCUUGUAGCACAGACACACCUCUGCCCUCCCUUUCACCAAAGCCAGUGCCGCUGGUGAACCGUCAGCCGCUGAAGCGGAGGCUACACCAUCUCCGGCUCAACUCCAUGGCCUCUCGUGUAGCUCAGCAGCAGGGGCAAGCUGAGGAACGCACCGCUCUUCUUCGCAGUUUCCUCACCGCUCAAGAAUAUGGGGUGUGA